GAUGAACGCUGGCGGCGUGCCUAAUACAUGCAAGUCGAGCGAACAGACGAGGAGCUUGCUCCUCUGACGUUAGCGGCGGACGGGUGAGUAACACGUGGAUAACCUACCUAUAAGACUGGGAUAACUUCGGGAAACCGGAGCUAAUACCGGAUAACAUGUUGAACCGCAUGGUUCAACAGUGAAAGACGGUCUUGCUGUCACUUAUAGAUGGAUCCGCGCCGCAUUAGCUAGUUGGUAAGGUAACGGCUUACCAAGGCAACGAUGCGUAGCCGACCUGAGAGGGUGAUCGGCCACACGGGAACUUGGACACGGUCCAGGCGCCUGCGGGAGGCAGCAGUAGGGAAUCUGCCGCAAUGGGCGAAAGCCUGACGGAGCGACGCCGCGUGAGUGAAGAAGGUCUUCGGAGCGUAAAACUCUGUUAUUAGGGAAGAACAAAUGUGUAAGUAACUAUGCACGUCUUGACGGUACCGAAUCAGAAAGCCACGGCUAACUACGUG
rnacentral:rRNA from 1 species